rnacentral:lncRNA from 1 species
CUGGCUAAUCUGGAGUUUAUAGAAAUGCUUUUAAGAUUUGAGCCUGAGGAAGAGGUAAUUCUGUUUAUUCUUUCUGCAGAUGAUGAAUUAACUGCCAUGAUUUUUGAGGCCUUCAAUGGAGAUACGGAUCCUUCCAUAGUUCCUGAAGUAUUCAGUCUGAAAGGUUGUGAUAUGGACCUGGAGUGCAGUUUCAUUUCUUGCAGCCUCAGAGCUCCAGUUGUAGAACACGGCUGUCUCCGACUCUUUAAGGCAUGAAGCUUAUCUCCCUGUGUCAGGCCAUCCAUAGUUUCCACACCUUCCUUGUCUUCAAAAUCAUACUCCUCAUAUUGAUCCAAGUCUUGCACUUUAAGCAAGCUGUCAUUGAUUGACAUAUCAUUCAAACCGCAGAGAACUCUGUUAAUGUUUCCAUCAACUACUUGUUGCUUCUGUUUUGAUUGUAUGAGAUCUCCCUCCAGCCAUAACAUUGCUUGUUUCUCUUCCAAGAAGUGUUGCUGAGGUCCUAUAAUAGAGCCUGGUCGACAUACUCUUAUCCAAGCAAUGGCUUCAGUGUGUGUGAACCUGUAGUGUUUCAUUAUGUAACAGGCGAUCAGUGUUCCCGUUCUCCCCAGGCCAGCUAAAGAAAC